AACUUUUAAAGGAUAAUAGUUAAUCCAUUGGUCUUAGGAACCACCCAUC
rnacentral:tRNA from 3 species